CUUCAAACGUCCAGGAACAAUCGCUGAAAUGACUACGAGGGCUGUGCUUCAGAGCAUGCAGCUCAUAUGGAUUAUCUUCAUUGUUGUUGCCGAUGCUCUGCUUGAAGUGACCCAGACCCCUGAAAAUACCUAUUCGAUCACUGGUGCAAAUAUUUCAUUCAGCUGCACAUUUUCUACUUUUCAAGAGGAUUCAGAUAUGAACAUUUAUUGGUGGAAACUUGGCGAAAAAGAAUUGAUGCAGCCAGGAUCAGACAGCAGGAGACGAUUUGUAACUGAGAAAGGAAGAGCCUCCUUCCAACUCCUGAGUAUCGGUGUCGAGGACUCUGGAGUGUAUUACUGCGGAGUAACAAUUCAGGGAAACAGGGUCGCAAAUGGAAGUGGAUCAAGGCUCGUCGUCAGUGGUAAAAGAAUUGUAAAGAGGCUAGGCUGUCUCACAGUCUCACAGUUAUUCAAAUAA